GAAACCUCACUGUAGCAGUGACCCAAGCCACAGCAGUGACAAAUCUGGAUCCUUAACCCACUAGGCCACCAGGGAACUCCCCUGAACUUCUGUUGGAACUAGUGAGAACAAGGAGUUCUCCUUUGGAAAUAUUGACAAUAAGGAUAAAAUAGGCCUGCAGUUUGUGAAAGCCACCACAGAGACACUGCCAGCAGAGAGUGGAAAACGAAGCUGAGAAAUGCAAUAAGAGAGAUACUAAGUCUUGCUUGCGCCAUGGGAGCACCUGGAUCUAGCCAGAGCUUUGAACUGUUUAGUUAUUGGACUACAACCUUCUUGAGCCAGAUUCAGGUUGGUCUCCUUCACUUGCAGCAAAAGGAUUCUGAAUUAAAGAGAGAAAAGGGAUCUGUAUACAAGCAUGACUGAAUUCCAGACAGGCCUGAGGAAAGGCUCCCGGGGGGGAGGAGGGGGCUGGUGACACAGUAGUGGGAGACUGUCCUCAGAAAUACCAUGCAGGCAACGCUAAGAGAAAAUCCCACGUUAACCCCAUAGCAUCAAUCAAGAGACAGAGGAAUGACCAGGAACACAGUGUUUUAUCACUCAGCUUUGCAGCAGGUGUGAAAGUGCUGCCAAUUUAGCUUUAAAAGAGCAUAUGAUCCAUGUAAGGUGGGAUAUGUUAUCAGAGCCAACCCUCCUUUACCUAGCACUGUGAAAAGAGGUGCUAGAUCAGUGAAUUCCCCAGCUCUGUGGUCUCCAAAGCCGGUGGUGGUGGGGUGGAGGGGCAGUGAAUGGGGUGGAGAGGGUGGCCGCUCCCAAGAUGGGCCAUUGUGGAGAAGAAAGUAUUGGAACUUGGAGUUAUUUUAACUAAAGUCUGUGGUAAGCAUUAUUAUUAAUUUAGAUGAGGCUUGACUCAUCUAUACUCAGUUUAGAUUGAGAAUAACUCCAUGUGGAGUUCCCGUCAUGGCUCAAUGAUUAGCAAACCCGACUAGUAUCCUUGAGGUUGCAGGUUUGAUCCCUGGCCUCGCUCGGUGGCUCAAGGACCCAGCAUUGCUGUGAGCUGUGGUGCAGAUGUGGCUCAGAUCUGGCAUCGCUGUUGUGGCAUAGGCCAGCAGCUGUAGCUCCAACUGGACCCCUAGCCUGGGAACCUCCAUAUGCCACGGGUGUGACCCUAAAAAGAAAAAAAAAAAAAAAGAAUAACACCAUGUGUCUGGUAUCCAUCAAGCCAGGAAACCCAAGAGGAGGAGAAUUCCACAGUAUGAAGUGGUUAAUAAUGACAUCAUUAUUUUCUCAUCCCCAGUCUUCCAAUAAACUAUAAUACCGCAUCUUUUUUCUUAUUUUUAAUUAGUUUUAAAUUGAGAUAUAAUUGACCUGAGACAUGGUGUUAGUUUUAGGUGUACAACCUAAUGAUUUGAUGUGUGAAUAUAUUGGGAAAGGAUUACCACAAUAAGUCUGGAUAUCCAUCAUCACUUCACGCAGUUACUUUUUUUUCUCGUGGUAAGUAAGGACUUGUAAGAUCUAUGCUCUCAGCAACUUGUGUAUAUACUACAGUACUAUUAACUACAGUCACCGUACUGGACUUGACAUUCUCGAGACCUGUUCAUCUUAUAAUUGGAAGUUCAUUCCUCUCAACCACCUUCACCCAAUUCCCCCACCCCAUGCCCCACCUGCCUCAGGCAGCCACCAAUGUAUUGUCUGUAUUUGUGAAUUCAGUCUUUUCCACACCUCUUAUUUCCUGCCGUGUUGAUUCUGGAAUACAGAGCAUGCCUAUCACAUGGGUGUUGCUCUCAGGAACUGGAGAGUUUGCUACCUGAAUUUGCACUAAAUGGCUCAGGGCAAAUGUUCUUCUAAUGAACCCUUCAUCUGUCUCCUCCUUGGCACUCUGACUUCUCUCCCAGCAAAAGUGAGGUUCUGAAGAGAAGUCAUGGAUUACACUUCUUCACUUAGGAGGCCUAACAACAUGGAGUUGGUUUUAAUACCUAAGUCCCAGUUUAAUGGUCGCAUUUCCAACAGCUGAAACGGCUAGGAGGUCAGAUGGCCAAGCAAAAGCAAGAAACAACGUUCUGCAUUGUCUUUUCAUUAUACUCACUAGCUGGCUGUUCUGAGCACAUUCUAAUAAUUACCUCUCUUAACCAUGAUAACAAAGAGGGUUAACACUUCAGGGGAUCAAAGCAGCAGAUAAUCCACCCCAAAUGAUUUUUACUUGGGGUGAUGCAGAGAUGCCGUCAGCCAGCUCUGAUGAAACAGCAGCAGGAUCUCACUUGUAAGCAGUCCUGAUUGGGGAGGGAGGGGAUAAAAAUGUACCAAAACCCAUCAGUUUGAUGCUGUUUUCUCUUUAUGCCAGAACCCAUGAGAAGAUUCCAUUAUAUACCCAGUUAACUCCAGGGCAUUUAAAAUGUUGGCUCAUUUGCAAACAUUGUAUUUACACUCUAUUAUUUUGUGAACCAUUGAUUACCUAAAGCAGAUUCACUUUACUUCUCAUCUCUUCUUCAAGCUCACAUCAUUUUACAUUUCCAGAAAACGUACCCAUGAACAGUAGGUUGGCUGUGUAGGGCUAGCCAAGAAGGGGGAGAUGGCAACAGAGUUAGUCCUUUUCUCUUCUGGGGCCUCAGUUUCCCCAUCUGUAAAAUGAAAGAGCUAGAUCACAAAGGUCCCAGAUCUAUACUUCUACCAACCAGGAAGACAACAAAAAUGAAUGAGGGGAUUGGGUGUACAGUUGUGCCCUAGUAUCCACUGGGGGUUUGUCCUGGGUCCUCCAUGGAUCCCCAAAUCCUCAGAUGCUCAAGUCCCUUAUAUAAAAUGGUAUAGUAGUUUACAAAACAGAAAUAGACUCACAGACAUAGAGAACCAACUUGUGGCUAUCAAAGGGGGAAGGGGGUGGGAGAGGGAUAUAGUAAAAGUUUGGUAUUAGCAGGUAUAAACUAUUCUAUGUAUAAAGUGGAUGGACAAGGUCCUGUUGUAUAGCACAGGGAACUAUAUUCAAUAUCCUGUAAUAAAACAUAAUGGAAAAGAAUAUGUGUGUGUGUGGCUGAAUCACUUUUCUGCACACCAGAAACUAGCACAAUGUUGUAAA
rnacentral:lncRNA from 1 species